GGAUGUGAAAACGAAAGUAGAUUAUUUAUCGUGGAAUAAUUACAACUGCUUACCUUUCUACGUGGAAUUUAUAUGGUAAUGGUAUGAAUUGAGAUGAUUUAUUUAGUUACCUUCAACUGGUCAGUGGUCAACAAGAGAGUAUUAUGGUGUGUCUUGAAGCAUUGAAUGAGCCAAAACAACCAGUAUGAUAAGAAGGCCAGAGUAUACAGCUUCCCAAAAUGUUGAAAGACUAAUCUGUUUUCUAAGGACUUGUAUACCAUUUAGAUUGAAAUUAGCCAUGGACAAUGAAUUUGGAGGUGCAUGCAGGAGCAUCAGAAAUAACAGACUUGGAAUACAUAAUUUACAUAAUCACGAUGUAUGAUCAAUCCUAUAUUGUUGGUAUAAAAGUCGC